UAGUCGGAUUUCGGGGCGGGGCGGCCGGUCUGCCGAUGGGUACGCCUGGUCGCCGCGCUCUUCUUGCCGGAGGCGCGGCCUACUCUUCACUGAGCGGGCCGUGAACUUGGCACGUUUACUUUGAAAAAAUCAGAGUGUUUCAAGCAGGCAGCUCGCUCUUGCAUGGAUUAGCAUGGGAUAAUAAAAUAGGACUUUGGUGCUAUUUUGUUGGUUUCGAACACCAGAGUAAUGAUUAACAGGGACAGUCAGGGGCACUCGUAUUCCGCCGAGAGAGGUGAAAUUCUUAGACCAGCGGAAGACGAACAACUGCGAAAGCAUUUGCCAGGGAUGUUUUCACUGAUCAAGAACGAAAGUUAGGGGAUCGAAGACGAUCAGAUACCGUCGUAGUCUUAACCAUAAACCAUGCCGACUAGGGAUUGGAGGGUGUUCCUUUUGAGACCCCUUCAGCACCUUUCGGGAAACUAAAGUCUUUGGGUUCCGGGGGGAGUAUGGUCGCAAGGCUGAAACUUAAAGGAAUUGA
rnacentral:rRNA from 1 species